rnacentral:lncRNA from 1 species
CAGAAAUUAAAUACCCCAGAAUGAUAAGUCGGUAAAAACCACUUUUUACGAAAAUCUGGUUUUUGCGUGAUUCCAACCAUGUAGACCUAAUACACGUAUUAGAGUGAGAACUGAACAUAUCAGCUUAGUAGAUUAGCCAGUAGAUGGCGCAAAUAUAUAUCCAUUUCUGUCAUUGAGAAUGAAAAGUCGGUAUAUCCGGUUUUUAGUGUUUUUACCCAGUUUUUAUUCUAAGUGAAGUCGUUAAAGUGUUUGGUCACUGGGUUGUUGUUUUUUACCGGCUGACUAUUUGCUAGCAUUUUCAUGAUGUCUAGUGACAGUGAUAUCGAAGUAAUGAGCAAUGAUUUAGACCCAGAUUAUAGUGAUAGUGCUAACAGUGAUAAUGAAGUUAAGGAAAAUAAAACCAGAAAAAGAAAAAUAAAUAAACAUCUCUGGAAAAGUGUUCAAAGGAAAUCUAACCUCAAAGGACUAGCAGACACAUCUAAAUCUGGAAUAAAUAUGCCUGCAAGGCGAGGUUAUGAAUGCGACUGCAAAAAUAGAUGUACAAGUAAAAUCUCAGUUGAAGAAAAAGCAAACAUUCUUGAUAAAUUUAACAACUUCGCUGAUAAAAAUGUGCAAGAUUCCUACCUUUUUGGAUUGAUAACAGUAAGGUCUGUUGCAAGAAGGAGACCAGACAUUAUGAAAAAGUGACUUCUUGGAAAGAGCCAUCCGAUUGAACUGAUAAUGAAUUAAUUCAAAUCAAUCAAAACGAAACUCAUCCUUUCAUUAUAAGAUUAUAUUAGCAGCCAGACGUGAAAUAAUGGUUUGCAAAAAAGCUUUAACGGGGCUUCAUGGCAUAAAAUUUGGUAGGAUUGAUUGAAUUGGGCUCCUCCGACAGACAAAAGGGGUUAAUCUAAAGGAUCCAGGGUACUUAAAAAACCAGAAGCUCUAAUCCAACAAAUUGAAUCACAUAUAAAUUAAUUUCCUAUUGGCAUCUCGCACUACACCAGAAAUAGCAGUCAAAGAAAGUUUCUUUCGCCCGACUUAAGUGUGAUGAAAAUGCAUGAGCUGUACGUGGAAAAGUAUGAAAGUGAGAAAUAUCGACAGUGGACAGCUGAUAACAAAACAAAAUUUGAAAUCAACUAUGAUUUUUAUCUACACAUAUUUAAUACCAAAUUUGAUCUUUCAUUUGGAAAACCUAAACUGGACAUCUGCAAUGCAUGUGACAGAUUCAAGAAUCAAAUAGAUGCGGCGGAAAAUCCAGAAGAAAAAGUUCGAUUGAAUCAAGAACACUCUGUACAUCAAGCCAAGACGCAGAAAUUUUACGACGACCUUAAGCGGUUCACUGAGCUAAAACGGAUGAAAAAAUGGAUGUUAUUAGCUUUGAUUAUCAACAAAAUUUACCAGUACCCGUACUUCCAAUAGGUGAUAUUUUUUAUAAAAGGCAGCUUUGGGUUUAUAACCAGUGUUUUUACUCGGCAAAAACGGGCCAUUCUUAUAUGUACAUGUACAAUGAAGUCGAAGGAAAAAAAGGUGCAAAUGAGACAACAUUUUUCUUAAAACAUUAUGUGGACAAUGUUGUUGAUCCUUCAGUGGAGACCUUGUACUUAUUCACAGAUAACUGUGUUGGGCAAAAUAAAAACAUGGUUUUUGUCCAGAUGUUAUGUUCAUUAGUCGCCACUGGAAGAUUUAAAAUGAUCUACCAUCGAUUUCCUGAGAGAGGUCAUUCGUUUCUAUCAUGCGAUCGCAAAUUUGCUCUUAUUGAAAAGGAAAAACGCAAAGUCACAUACCUUUACUUGCCGGAAGAAUGGUAUUCAAAAGUGGCAAAAACCUCAAAAACUUUUACUGUUAUCAAUGUACUGCCACGGAUGAUAGGAAACUUUCGUUUAUAUUUCCAAUCUUUCUUUAAAAAAAAACAUAAAAAACUUUACCGUCUCAAAAUACAAAAGUUUUAAGUAUGAGGAUAAAAAAAUCACCGUUUCUGUAUGCCACAAUAUUGAAAGUCUAAACCAAACUUUUAUUGCAUUUAAAUCUAACGCAGAUUUAUUUGCUUUAAAGGAAUGGAAUGUGGCCCAACUCUACACUACAACUCUUCAAGCUAAUCCAAAAAAACUUCAAAACUUAAAGGAACUUCAAGAUUUCAUUCCUGCAAUAUAUCAUGGAUUUUAUGACUCUUUGGAUACAACAGAGCAACAACAGGAGGAAAGUGAAACCGACUUAUCCGAGAGUAGUGAUGAAUAAAAAAAUGUUAUUGUCAAUUUAAUUUGAUGUUUUGUAAAUACAGAAUGACAACUAGGUAUAUCCGUCUUUAAUUUAUUAUUUUUUCUAAUAUUAGUAGUAUUGAACAAAAAAACUAGCUUAAAAAACGUUUCAAAACACUUUCAAUAAGCAUUUAAAUAAUAAUUUGCAGGUAAAAGUACAACUAGUUUUAAUACACUUGUUAUUUUCAUCUCCUGUAAAAUUACCUUUUUGGU